AUAAGCGAGCUCGUUGGCGCAGGAUAUUAGAGACUCGCGUCCAAUUUCCGACUGAAAUAAAAAAAAAAGGAGAAGAACACUAUUGCAAAUCGAUGCUUCCGUAAGUAUGCGAUAGAGGCUUGCGGGAAAAAAGAAGCAGGUCGAGCGCGCGCGAGAAAAGGAAGAGUCAAAAGCAGCAACUUUCGCGCCGCGCUGUCGAUUGUUAAAAAUUAAAGUUCCGCGAGUGCAACGUUUGUCCGUCAGUUAUACACACCGACACUACUGCCUACGCACACAUACACACACAGACUGAGCGGUCGAGAAUAAGUCAAGAAAGAGACAGGCGUUAGAGAGAGAGAGAGAGGGAGAUGCCAUUGUGAAUUGCCGGCGUAAGUGGGCCAGGGUAAAAGACAAGCAGCAGCAGUAUAGCCGAGCUUUUUCGAGAAAGAGAGAGAGUAGGCUAGUGCAGCAGUCGAGGAGAAAGAGCGCGAGAUUCGCAUUUCUCGAUUACUCGAGACAAUGACGAAUGGAACUCGGCAAAAAUAACUCGAACAAUGCUAUUUAUGAAUGCCCGGGAGAGAGAGAGAGAGGCGGAGAAGAAGCUGCUGCUGCUGGGGAUAGUGGUAUAUAUAGGUACUGCGCGCCUCGAGAAAUUGGGUACUUUACGCCUCGUUUUCUCUGCCUCGCGAGAGGAGAAGCGAGCGAUGGCCUCCCCCCGUCUCGUCGCAGCCGUCACUGCGAGCUAUAUACUGACGACGUGGAUCGCGAGAACUUGUAAAUUCUUUUUACGAUUUUCCCGCGAUUCGCUUUAUUUAUCAAUAUAUACUGGAAAAUUUCCCACCCCAAGCGCGGAUCGAUUCUCGCCAUCAAUUCUCUUCUCCGUCGCGCGUAUCAUCUCGCCUCAUACUCGAUGCGAUAUUUAUCCGCGCGUAUAUGCUUAUACGGCGAACAUAUCGUCAUCGUCCUCUACACAUACUUCAUUUGGCGCGACGAACGACCGUCUUUAUUUAUUUCUACUCGGCAACAAAGUGCGCGCUCGUUAUUUUCCAAUUAUGCCGAACAAAGAGCGAAAAUGCAAAGGCAGCUCGGACAAAAAUUCGAAUGCACGCGAACACUUUUUCGACGGUCAUAAAGCUUUUAAUUAACGGAAAAUUACAAAUUUAAAAUUACGGUAGUCCUGCUCGCGCCGUGACGAAGCAGGCGCUUUCGGAAUGCGUAAUUAUGCGUCUGCCGCGAUAAAAUACAGGAAUUCGUGUGGCCCAAAUCUUCUAUACUUCCAACAAUCUCGUUACCUUAUACAUGUAUAUUAAUAUAUAUAUAUAUAUAUAAUCUUGCAACGUCAUGAUCAUCGGAGCAUCGGUCGAUUCGAAAAAUGUGUAAUCUCUCGAAAUUUCAUCCGCAAGCUGGGGGCGCGGGAAAAACGAGGAAAAUUAAAAUGCGCCGAGUCAAAAGCGUAAGAAUAUCGCGUUACACGUGCGCUCGCGGUAACGCAAGCUAUAUACACAGACAGGGGCUGCGUACCGAGAGGACGAGAAGUAGGUCAAAAGCAGUCUUCAAAACCAAAGCAGAGAUUAAAUCAGACCAUAUCUCCUCGGUUUUUGCGCGCGCGAGGGAUAACCGAGUCCCCUGUACCUAUACAGCCCGUCUCGCUCGGUGGCGUAUAAAAACGAUCCGAUCGGCCGCAAACGUCUCCCUCGGCUCUAUAUCGCGUAUAUACAGUAUAGGUAUAACACGCCGCGCGCAUCAGUCGGUCAGCUCCGCGCUUUAUCUUUGCUCGCGCGUAAUUUAUCGAAUUUCCCGAUGACCGCGCGCGGCCCCCUCUCGCGCUAAAGAUCCAUCUCUUUACGUGCUCGCCGAUAAUUCCGUAUAACACACGCGCGAGUAUACAUUGUAAGGAAAAGCACGAGCUCAUCUCCGCACGUAAUAUCGCCAUUAGACUACUGGACGAAGAAGAAGAAGAAGAAGAAGAAGAGAAAGAAAAGAGGUGGUGGAAAGAGCGCUGAGUGCAGCGCGCCGACACUCGUCACGAGGGCGUGUACUUAAACAAACGAACGGAGAAAGAGGGAAUAUAAGAAAGAGUGCAAGAGGUGCCAGAGAGAGAGAGAGAGAGAGAGAACGAGAAAUGAGCAUCGCGUUGCACGGGGGCUUCGUGCGCUGCGCUGCUCUGUUUGUCGUUCCGCGAACGCGUUCUUCCGUUUUAUUGAGUUUCCUCGCGAUUGCCGCAAUUAUAGGCCGAGCCAGAAACGAGAGACAGAGCGAAUGUUAUACGUGUACUCAUAUUUAUGCACGUGCUACGUGCGUAUAUAUGCGUGUAUAAACAGCAGCAGCGACUGUAUUGUACAAUGUGUGCAGUCGACUCGCGAUCGACGACGAUUAGCCGCCCGCGCGCGAACGGUAUGCUGUGUGUGCGUGCGCUGGACGUCGGUUUGUACGCUGGCUUUUUAUAGCCGCAAUUUUAGCGCAAUAAAACAAAGACACGUUCAAUGUGGUAUCGACAAUUUUUACUGCUCAUCGUUGGCUUGUUGCCAACUUUUUUCUUUUUUUUUUUCACGUUGCUGCUUUCGCAAGUUUUGCAAUACAAAAUUGUAAGAAAAAACAUAAUGUUUCAUAUAGACGCGCGCAUAUACGCGAGACGUGUCGCUCUACGAUGUAUAGUCGUAUAUGCGCUUAUAAUAAAGAGAAGCGUAACAAAAAUUUUGUACAAUGUAUACACUGAAAGAUAAAAGAAAUACAAGUCCAUAAUAACGUAUAUAAUAUGCGAUCAUUGAUAUUAGCGCGAGUACAAGGAAACGAGAGCAAAUUAUGGCAUAGCAUGUGGUUAUAGUUUUAGUAGUGCUGGUGGUGAUAGUAGAUAGUAGUAAACUGGGACUAAAAAAUAAAAAUUAUAAUUGAUAAUAAUAUAUUUUCUAUAAUAGCUUGUAUGUAUAUAAUCAAUGCGUUAUAUAUAUUUAUAUAUAAUCAUAUAUAUAUCGGGCAGAUUAUUAUUUACAGAAUACGUAGUGGUAUCAGUUUAUUUCAUUCUUUCGGAUCUUUCGUGUGUUUGUGUGUAAUUCUGCGUCUGUAGGUGUUUCACAAUACUUAAUUUAUCGUACUAUCUAUAUAUGUAUACUUCUAGUCGCUGUGGGUGUGGGGAACAGGAGAAAAACAAAAUAAAUCGCAAUCUAUGGCAACUAACGUAUUAAUGGCAAGCAUCUGCGCUGACAAAAAUGAUAGUGGGAUAAGGGUUGGGGAGGAAACAAAAGUCAUUGAUGAUUAGAUUACAAAUGAUCAACUAUUGGAAUGAAGCAAUGACAACGAACUAACGAAGAGACAUCUUUCGCGGUGGAAAAGAGAAACAAAUUAAUCUAAAUGAUGA
rnacentral:lncRNA from 1 species